rnacentral:tRNA from 3 species
GGGCUUGCAGCGUUGCGUGCAAACUCAUAAUCGCUUGGUCCCAGGUUCAAGUCCUGGUGGGCCCACCA